GGGUGAGUAAUAUAUGGGUAAUUUGCCUCUUUGUUCGGGAUAGCCAUCGGAAACGAUGAUUAAUACCGAAUGUGUUCAGGUACCGCAUGGUACCUUAUAUAAAGGCGGGGAUUCUUCGGAACCUGUCGCGAAGAGAUAAGCCCAUAUCCUAUCAGCUUGUUGGUGAGGUAAUGGCUCACCAAGGCUUACGGGUAGCGGGUCUGAGAGGAUGAUCCGCCACACUGGGACUGAGACACUGCCCAGACUCCUACGGGAGGCUGCAGUCGAGAAUCAUUGUCAAUGCACGAAAGUGUGAACAUGCGACGCCGCGUGGAGGAAGACGGCCUUCGGGUUGUAAACUCCUGUCAGCAGGGAGUAAGGAUGGGUAACUUAAUACGUUUCCUAUUUGAUAGUACCUGCAGAGGAAGUCACGGCUAACUCUGUGCCAGCAGCCGCGGUAAUACAGAGGUGGCGAACGUUGUUCGGAUUUACUGGGCGUAAAGGGUCCGCAGGCGGUCUUGUGUGUCAGAUGUGAAAGCCCACGGCUCAACCGUGGAAUUGCAUUUGAAACUGCAAGACUAGAGUACUGGAGGGGAGAAGGGAACACUUGGUGUAGCGGUGAAAUGCGUAGAUAUCAAGUGGAACACCGGCGGCGAAGGCGCUUCUCUGGACAGAUACUGACGCUCAUGGACGAAAGUUAGGGUAGCGAAAGGGAUUAGAUACCCCUGUAGUCCUAACCGUAAACGGUGUGCGCUAGGCGUGGGUGGCUUUACCCCCAUCCGUGCCUGAGCUAACGCAUUAAGCGCACCGCCUGGGGAGUACGGUCGCAAGAUUAAAACUCAAAGGAAUUGACGGGGACCCGCACAAGCGGUGGAGCAUGCGGCUUAAUUCGAUGCAACGCGAAGAACCUUACCUGGGCUUGACAUAUAGCUGCAUCCGACCCGAAAGGGACGGAGCCUUCGAGGGUGCUAUACAGGUGCUGCAUGGCUGUCGUCAGCUCGUGCCGUGAGGUGUUGGGUUAAGUCCCGCAACGAGCGCAACCCCUGUGUUUAGUUGCCAGCACGUAAUGGUGGGAACUCUAAACAGACUGCUGGUGAAAACCAGAGGAAGGUGGGGAUGACGUCAAGUCAGUAUGGUCCUUAUGUCCAGGGCUGCACGCGUGCUACAAUGGGUGAUACAAUGGGAGGCUAAGCCGCGAGGUGGAGCAAAUCCUCAAAAUCAUCCCCAGUUCGGAUUGGAGUCUGAAACUCGACUCCAUGGAG
rnacentral:rRNA from 1 species